GAACGACUGCGGUUACAAAGCCGAAAGGCUGUACCCGAGGAAAGUCCGGGCUCCACAGGGCAAGAAUAACGGCUAACGGCCGCCGGGGGUGACCCCAGGGAAAGUGCAACAGAGAUAUACCGCCGGUUUUACCGGUAAGGGUGGAAAGGCGAGGUAAGAGCUCACCGGCGUUAAGGAGACUUAACGGCCCUGUAAACCCUAUUCGGAGCAACACCGUGGAAAGACAUUAUGCAUUUGCCCGAUGCGUCUUAGGAGGUGGCAUUGAGCAGUUUCGGCAACGAGCUGCCAAGAUAGAUGGUCGUUCACGACAGAACUCGGCUUAUAGGUUUAGUC
rnacentral:RNase_P_RNA from 1 species